UAGGGGAAUCUUCCACAAUGGACGAAAGUCUGAUGGAGCAACGCCGCGUGAGUGAAGAAGGGUUUCGGCUCGUAAAACUCUGUUGUUAAAGAAGAACAUAUCUGAGAGUAACUGUUCAGGUAUUGACGGUAUUUAACCAGAAAGCCACGGCUAACUACGUGCCAG
rnacentral:rRNA from 1 species